GAGAGUGAUGGAGUGAGGUAGGAAUGCAUGAACCAAUGGAAGUGGACGGAAGUUGGCUGUGCAGCCAGUGUACCCUCACCAACAGCGAGCUCACCAACGUCUGCCAGGCGUGCGGGUCAGAACAGAGACCGGCUGUGUUUAACAUCAAGGAUACAAUCGACAGAAGUAAAGGAGCGAUUCCGAAAACAAAGGUCAGAAGGUCAAAGCCCUUAACUACCAGACCCUCUCCCCUUGGAGGGCCGGGAACCAGCACUCAGCAACCGAUUCUUGUGGAUAGCGAUGAAGUGGUGGAUGAUGUGUGGAAAUGUGGAAAUUGUAACAUGAAAAACUCUGGGAAGGUGGAGAUCUGCAUAAGUUGUAAUGAGAAUAAAUUCAAAGAAGUCAUAAUGAUUAACGACGAUGAUGAAUAUGUUGUUAAGUACAACCACUGUAAGCCAGAUAAUGAUAAUAAAGUAGAAACUGGUGGCUCGGACCAAAGCAAGGAUAAAACAGAGGCUGUAAAUGGUCAGAAAAGUGAGGAAGUUUGGCAUUGUCACAGGUGUACACUAAAAAAUCCAAAAGAGAACAAAAACUGUGAAGUGUGUCAUUGUCCACAGGAAAUUAGAUUACCCACUCUGGAUUCUGUGUCCGAGUUUGAUGCUGCGAAGGUGGAGUACCCCACCACGAGUAAACGUGGAGAACCGGAUGGGAUGGAGUGUGAUUUUCAGGCAGGUGGAGCCACCGCAAAUUCACCGCAACCAAAAGCCAAACCUGGAGUUAACCCUAACAAUAGAAAGAAACUCCACCACCCACGAGCAAAGUCAGAUCCAGUGUUUAUAGAAGAUGGUGGAGAAUGGACAUGUUCUUUGUGUAGUUUUGCUUGUAACCCAAGCUGGAGCCCUAAAUGUACAAAAUGUCUGAAGGGCCAGAUUCCAGUGGGUGUUCCUGGAGCCAACCACAGAGUUAAAACUCCAGGAGAAAAAUUCCCUGCUAUCAACAAACAGCAUUCCCCUCUUAGGAAGGCUCAUUCCUCUCCUAGACAAUCACCUGACUCUGGUGAUCAGGCUGAGAAAAUGGACAAAAGAUUCUGGGUGUGUAAUCGCUGCACAUUCCACAAUCUUGUCACAGAGCGAUCCUGUAAGAUGUGCGGGGGUCGUAGAUCUACGUCAGAACUUGACACAAAGAACUAUUGGAGCUGCGGUAAGUGUACUCUCCAUAAUCCCAUUAACAGCACUUUAUGUGCAGCCUGUGGAUUUAAAAGGGAGACUGCAAACUCUGAGCCACCAGAACACAAAAGAAAGACACCUGUGUCUGAAUCGAAAGUAACUAGAACUUCUAAAUCUGCUGAUAAACAAGAGUCAGACAAGAAAGUUAGAGAGGAUGGUGCUAAAACUUCACCUGAGAGUACGGCUACCAGUAAAACAACUAAUAGCUUGGAGAACAACAAAGUUCAAGGAAAGGAGCAGGAAAAAGAAAAGACGCCAAAAUCUUCACAGCAGAAGGAUAAGACACCGAAGUCAUGGCUGGAGAAGGAUAAGACACCAAAGUCAUCGCUGGAGAGGGAUAAAACUCCCAAGUCAUCACUGGAGAAAAAUAAGGACAAAGAAAAGGGAAAUAAAAGUUUAGAGAAGGAGAAAUCCAGUAAAAGCUUAGAAAAAGCCAAAAACAAAAGUCUGGAGAAGAAUAACAAAAGUUUGGAGAAAGAUAAACUGUGGUCUUGUUCACAAUGUACAUACAAAAAUCCACUGAAAAUGGCAGACUGUCAAAUGUGUGGCAGUGGCAAAUCGCACAGAAAACAUUUUGACCCAAAUCUAAUCACACUUCUCAGACAGCCAAGCUCAUUGAUGGAAGAUAUCCGAAAAAUCGAGGAAAAUGAGGCUCUGGAACUCUGGCAACACAUCACUUUGUUCUGUAGGCAGCACAACGACCAUUUUGUGGACGAUUCCUUUCCUCCCAUUCCAAAGUCUGUCUUCAUCAAUGAGGACAAACCCUUCACAAAGACACCUAUCCAAUGGCUACGACCAACAGAAAUCGCCACAUCUCAACGAGGUGACGAGAAGGUCAAAUGGGCAGUGUGUAGGACGCCUUUACCAGACGACAUCUCUCAGGGACUUCUGGGAAACUGCUGGUUUCUCAGUGCCUUAGCUGUGUUGGCGGAGCGUCCAGAACUCGUAGAGAACAUCAUUCUGACUAAGAACUACUGUCCACAAGGGGCCUACCAGGUCCGUCUCUGUAAGGACGGCAAAUGGCAGAUUGUCCUGAUUGAUGACCUUUUGCCCUGUGACCACCACAAACGGCUUGUCUUCUCUCAGGCCAAGAGAAGACAACUGUGGGUGCCUCUGAUAGAGAAAGCUAUGGCCAAGUUACAUGGUAGCUAUGAAAGUCUGGUAGCAGGGAAGUGUAUAGAGGGACUGGCUACUCUAACAGGUGCCCCUUGUGACAACAUAGAACUACAGCCUGGGCCACAGAGAGAAGACAUAGAUCCAAAUUUAAUUUGGGCCAAACUUCUUAGCUGCAGGGAGUCAGGAUUUCUGAUGGGGGCCUCCUGUGGGGGAGGGAACAUGAAGACAGAGGACAAGGUUUAUGAGGAGAAAGGACUGCGACCUAGACACGCCUACUCCAUUCUGGAUGUCAAGGACAUUGACGGAAAUAGAUUGUUAAGGUUACGUAACCCAUGGGGGAGGUUUUCUUGGAACGGUGAUUGGAGUGACAACUCGACCAAGUGGGCCAACAUUAGUACCCGGGCCAAACAGGAUUUGAUGUUGUACGGUCACACAUCAGGAGUCUUCUGGAUAUCACUAGAAGAUGUUCUCAAAUACUUUGACAGUGUGGACAUUUGUAAGGUACGUCCUGAUUGGAGGGAGACUCGUGUGGAGGGAACAUUCCCAGCCAAUGCCAGAGAGGUUUUCAAAAUGGUCAAGUUGACUGUGUUCUACACCACAGAGGUGGAAGUGGGUGUGUUUCAGGAGGGGGUCAGGAGUAAUGACAACAAAAACCCAGCUGACCUUUGUGUACUGAUCCUCCGGGAUUCCCCUAAUGGUGUCCAGGCUUUUGGACCACUAGUGGCCUGCAGUAAUCGUCAGAUAAAGAGCUUUGUGGGGUGUAACACAAUGCUGGAACCUGGGGAAUAUGUGGUGCUGCCUCUGGCAUUCAAUUUCUGGACUUUGUCUACGAAGCCUACAGAACGGUAUAGCUACGUGCUCUCUGUCCACAGUUCUAAGGCAGUAAUGGUGGAAGAAAUUGAGACUCGUACCCAGAAAUACGAAAACACCCUGGCUGAUGCCGUAAUACAGCUCGCUCUGGCCAAGGGGAAGCAAGAGGGGGUACGAGACACUGUUUCGGUGUAUUCAUUGAUGCAUGGUUGGUCCGGCGGUCUGUUUGUGGUUGAGAAUCGCUGUAGUGAUCGAAGUCUCCAUAUGAAGUGUGACUGUGUAGAUAGUUCUAAUGUGGUGUCUACCCGUGGUAGUCUCACCACACUUGACUCCAUCCCUCCACUACACAGGUAAGUGUGAUUGUGUAGAUAGUUCUAAUGUGGUGUCCACUCGUGGUAGUCUCACCACACUUGACUCCAUCCCUCCACUACACAGACAAGUGAUUAUGGUGCUGACUCAGCUGGAGAGAAGUGCCUCAUACCAUCUCUCUCGCCGCCUGAUUCACCGCAUGCACUGGUCACCCACAGGACUGGCUGACUGGGCAGCAGCUGGAGUAAACCACGAUCCACCGCUGACACUCCACGUGGAGGGACUUCACGCUCCAAGGCCUUUAUAAGGAAAAUUGACAUUUAAUGAUAUCAAUUCUUAAACCUUCACCAAAGAGACUCAGGCAAAUUGAUCUGUGUAGAGAUAUACAUAUAUAUCCAACAUUAGUCUGUUUCUGAUAAUAUAAACAGUGGAGUAAAUUCAAUAUAUGAUUCAACAUUUUUUUCUCAAUCAUAUCUGUAUAUACUUUUUGGUGUAAAAAAAAAUCUGAUUCUCAAAUUUCAAGCCAUGCCAUUCACUAGUGUGAUAGUGACUUGUAUUAUGUAUGGAAUUUUAAAUCAUGAACAUUCCUUAACAUUCGAUAUGUGAAUGACAGAUUUUGUUGAAAGAUUAAAAGAUUUUUUUACAGGAAGGUUGUAUGCUGUUACUCUCUACUUUUGAUGAGGAAUACUUUUUGGGUAUUUCUAAUGUUGUCUUUAAAUUUCAGUAUUUCAUCAAAGAGCAUUAUUAUUGGUUGUGAUCAUUCUAUGUACUCUAAAGCUUGUACAUUUAUUUUUGUACUUGAACGUGUGAAGUUUUUUUUUUUAUUCAUGCCUGUUGACCAAGAGUUUUGUUGGAAAAGCAACCCUUGUAUCUCAGUUACCAUGUUUACAGUUUUUGUAAUUUAAUUCUGUAAGGAUUUCCUUUUGUGCUUUAGGAAUUACCAAUAGAUCUGUAAAUCAUGCCUGUUUAAUUGAAUCAGUAAGCAAUUAACAACAGUUAAAAGAAACGUCUUGAUGUAUUUUUUUUUUAAUAUUUUAAAUUUACGGAGAGGAACAGUUGAAAGCUGUACAAAAAGACCCAGUAUAUGGUUUUAUUAUUUGUAAUAAAUAAUGUUUUGAUGUAAUGAAAUUGACUUCAACUGAAUGGAUAAAAUUUUUCUGAUUGCAUGCAUAUUUUCUUAAAGUUUUUCUAAAACUGCGGUGUUAUAUUCUUCUUGAAGUGUUAUCAUGCACAGUAAAGUUAUAAGGUUAUUGCUAAGCAUGCAGUUUACAUAUACAUAUAUACUAGUACAUUGUAUAUAAUAGAAUUUUGUAAUUUUGUCAGGGAGAUUAAAAAACUAAGUUGUGAAAAUUUUGUAUAUAUAUUUUUAACCCGCUCAAAUGCAUGCUUUGGUGCAGUGAUAUGUAGCAUUUAAUAUCUGAACAUUUAUCAGUACAUUUAGUGUUUGACAAGAGUGGAGAUACUGUUUUUGUUUGGUUACCAUGUGAAUGUGUCAGUUUAAUGCAAUAAGUGGCAUUUAAUAACACCAUAUGACAAUCCAUCUACCUCCAGAAUAGGUCUGAGUUUUUAUGAAAACUUUAUUUUAAAAAAUGAUGUUUUUGUGUAACAUCUGGGUAAGUCAGUGUCAUUAAGUGAUUCUAUGAGGGCAUAUAUUGAAUAGGAAUCAGAUUGAAUUGGUUUCCUUUUUAACAAAAUCAUUUUGAAUAACAGUUUUGAUAUUCCCACAUAAACCAAUUAUUGUAUAUGUAUUGGUUUAUAUCUGUACAGAAAUCUGUACUCAGUGUGUGAGUUCCCUCCCCUUCAACUAAAACUGGAAACGUGUCUCCUUAAAAUCCAAGAUUGAGUUUAAAAGUUAGGGUUAAUCAUGGAAAAAGAAAUGUGUACAUUCCAGAAUAUAAUUUUUUAGGCUUCAAACCCCCAAAAUGGGGGUUAAAUUCAUUUGAGAAGAAUAUUUUUAUCUCACAAGUAUUGUAGCCUAGUGAACAAGUACAUGUUGUAUUACCUUUAUGUCAUCUUAGUUCUGAUUCAUUCAGUAUUUUUAACUAUUUACCGAAUUUUCUUUAUGUUUUUUGAGUAAAGGAUUGCUUCAGUGAUCAAAUUUUAUUUUUAUAAUUAAUGUUGAGAAGCACUGUAUACUUCCUAAAAUCUCAUAUAUUUUAAUAGGUACAAUCAUAUUUACAGAAAAUUAACAGUACUGUGUAAAGUAAAUUGUUAUGCUGAAGUUAGGUCAAUUGUUGAUAAGCUCAGAAAACGUUGGAGUUGUAACAAAUUCUGGUUGUAUCAGAAAUUUGUUUUGACCCUCAGAGUUUAAUUUGAAUUAGAUUUAUGUGAUAACACCAGUGACACUCAUUUUUAUGGCAUCAAGCAAAGAUUGAGCAUCAUUUAUUAUUUUUUGGAUUUAGUAAAAGCAGAGGUUCCAGAUGGGCCUAAUGAUGUGUAAGAUCUCGGUGGUUUUGACAGGACAAUGUUUCAUGGAAAAUUCUAAGACUUUGAAACAAAUUAUUGCCAACUAUUUCACACAUCACUUUUCAAAUGUAUUGUUUUUCAUAUUAUGUAUUAAGAUCUUUUGACAGAACAGUCAGUGUUCUUUAGAUAAGGUUUUGUUUGAUAGUGCUAUCUUAUAAGUUUAUUUUCCUCAGACUUACAUAAAAGGUUUUGUUUUUUUAGAGAUGUUUUCUUGUGCAAUAUGUGAUAGUUACAUCAAGAUUUUAAUAAAGAAAUUUAUUUGUACAUUU